GACGAACGCUGGCGGCGUGCUUAACACAUGCAAGUCGAACGGUAAGGCCCUUCGGGGUACACGAGUGGCGAACGGGUGAGUAACACGUGGGUGAUCUGCCCUGCACUUCGGGAUAAGCCUGGGAAACUGGGUCUAAUACCGGAUAGGACUCCGGACUGCAUGGUCUGGGGUGGAAAGCUUUUGCGGUGUGGGAUGGGCCCGCGGCCUAUCAGCUUGUUGGUGGGGUGAUGGCCUACCAAGGCGACGACGGGUAGCCGGCCUGAGAGGGUGACCGGCCACACUGGGACUGAGAGACGGCCCAGACUCCUACGGGAGGCAGCAGUGGGGAAUAUUGCACAAGGGGCGCAAGCCUGAUGCAGCGACGCCGCGUGAGGGAUGACGGCCUUCGGGUUGUAAACCUCUUUCAGCACAGACGAAGCGCAAGUGACGGUAUGUGCAGAAGAAGGACCGGCCAACUACGUGCCAGCCGCCGCGGUAA
rnacentral:rRNA from 1 species